GGAAUUGGUAGGAACCGCAGCUGGAUCCGAAAUCCAAGCUCCGGCAAAGCGGUACUGAGGGGCUACUGUGAACAGCUGGGGGCGCUCGCUUCCCAGUUGGGGCUGAGUUUGGAGGAGAGGAAGGGAAACAGAUUAAGGAGUCAGUGAGGGUGGUGGGAAGGUCCGAGUUGCAAAGAAUGCAUCUGAAGUUGGAGGGUGCACAGGGUUCUUUUUUAAAAGCUGCGCUCGAGGUAAGAGGGGUAACCAUGAUGGGACAGUGCACGCUUGCUCUUCACUAACAGUCUGGGUAGAGUUGGGAGCUCUUGGCCUCCGGCCGCUAGUUCCGUACAGGAACUACAGGCUUUGAGGAUGCUAGUUGUUAAAGAGUGAUCGCUGCAGCUGUUGGUCAUCACUUAACUUCCUUCUUUUGGUGAGCCUGGGGGAAAUAGAAUCAGAAACUGGGAGAAGGAGCCCUGAGUGAAAUCGGUCAAGGGCGAGAAGUGUGAGGUCCAUCCUCACACUCAAAGGUCAAAGGCUGCUCCCCUAGUGUGAGAAUUUUGAGCAAGAUUUCCUUGCCGUUGUCAGGGGUGAAACUAGCUUGUCUUUGCAGCCUUGUGAGACUUUAUGCUCUAAGGGUAGUUCUGUAGCCAUUCAACUUUCCUCCUUGCCUGAAAUGGCCUUUGUGCUGGGGUGGAGAGAGGUUAUUCCUGGAGCACUUGUCCCCUUAGUAUAACCUUUGCUUGCCUGCACUCUGCACUCCUCCCAGCUGUCAUAGCCAACCAGGAGCUGGCUGCAGGCUGAGGGAGGGCUCCCCUGUGGGAGCGAAGUGUGCAGUGCGCUCCAGCCCCUGCCAGAUCUGCUGCCAGGGUCUUGGCGUCCAGCUCAGGAGCGCUCUGCAGUGACUGCUCCCGCAGCCAGCAAUUUUGCCCUGGUGAGUGGCAGUGAAUUUUAACUGCAAGCAUCUUCCUUCCUGUAUCUAGACACCAUUUAAUCGCCGAUGUGCUCAUACACAUUAAAAUCCUUUCAACGGAGUCUAGGAGGAAGAUUAAUUGAAAGAGAUUAAAUUAUUCUCAGUUUCAAAAAAAAUUUUUUUUAAAUAUCCAACUUUCUCAAGUUUCGGGAGUGGGUUCGAUUCAGCAGCUCCAACCCCCAAUUCACCAAAGGACGUUUACUAAACAGAAGCAAGGGUAGGAACCAUGGCUACUGUGUUAGGUUUAAUAAAUUCUAAAACUCACACAUUUAACCAUUGGAGAUCUAGCUAAUCAGGUAAGGUGAGGAGUAUCCUCAAUAACCACAGGUUGGCGGCUGCAAACAGACAGCAUAAUUAAAGCAUAAAGACGCAACACCCUCCUAAUGAACGCAGCCAACAGCGCAGAGGGACAUAGGGCCAUCAGCCUCCAGGUUCUUCUGGAACUGACCUAUUUUUGAAGGUGUAAUUUUGAAAGCAUGGUGACACCAUGAAAGUCUUACAUAACCAGAUCCUAGCUAUGUGAGUUUCGAAAGCAUAAUUUCUCAGUAGGAGUCACUGUUCUCUGGAAAUGCUAAUUCGGAUUAAUAGUGUGGGAAUAAGCAAGCCAUUGACAAAGUAGUGAUUUGAAAACAAAAUUGAGAAGUGACAGCUGUGAACCUUCCAAGCUGGGCCAUAAUGUUGUUUGCAUGAAUUUAAUGCAGGAAGUUAGUGAUGCCCUGUCAGCUACUGUCACAGUCUGGCUGACAUGUCCUCAGCAAAUUUUGGCCACCUGACAUGACAGACACAAGCAGUUCCUUCUCUUAUUUUGCAUUGCCUUUUGUGCACACCUUGAGGUCAGUCAUGUGCAUAUGCUGAUAUGAUUGGUUGUUUGCAUGUCUGCCCUCCUUCCAAGCCUAUAAUCCCUUCCCCAGAGGGCACUGGUUUGCUGUCCUUAGGAUCCAGCAUAAGAGCUAGUGAAGCUUCCCUGUUUUUAAAGAGUAUAAAAUGACCACAUUGAAGAAUCUAGCUUUCAAACAGGAAGAUGAGUGGAGCAAAACCAAAAGCCAGGAAGGAGCCCAAGCACAGAUCAUCAGUCAGCCCCCCCCCCAACCCCACCCCAGACACAGCAAGAGGACUGGCAAGAACUAGAGAGGCUCCCAAUAAAUAGUGCUGGGGGAACUGGAUCCACAAUCAAAAAAAGGAAGUCUAACCCUCAAUACCAUAUAAAGUUGCCUGAGAGUGGACAGAAGACUUAAGAUGAGUCCUGAAGUCCCAAGAAAGGGACAGGGCAUAGGGCUCCUUGACAUUGUCUAUGAUAUAAUAGUGAAAGUUUGAAUUUCGGGGAAUGACCUCAAACUUCUAUACAACCAAAGAAGUAUCAAUGGAAUGGAAGGGCAGCAUGGACUGGGGGGAAUGUUUCUGAACCAUGCAUAUUGAAUAUGAGUUACCAUCCAAGCUAUGAAGGGCCUUUAUAACUCAGUAGCAGGUAAGCAAAUGACCCAAUUUAAGAAAUGGGCGAAGGAUCUAAACACACAUUUCCCCAGGGAAAACAUGAUUUUUAAAAGGUCAGAAUGCUUUCCUCUCUUCCAGAGGACCUGAGUAAGGUUCUUAGCACCCACAUCAGGCUGCUCACAGCCACAUGUAAGUCUAGCUGCAAGGGAUCCAGCACCAUCUUCUGUUACCCAUAGGUACCUGCCCACAUGGGACAUACUUAUGCAUCACCACCAGUGCCCCCCCCCACAUAAAUACAACUUAACAAUAAGUCUAAAAAAACAAGUCCAGACUGUAUGAGUCAAAAUGCUCAACAUCAUUAAUUAUCAAAUGAAAUGCAAAUUAAUAUUACUAUAAAAUACACCUUAUAUUUGAAUGAUAGCAUCAAAAUGAUAGAAUGUAAUUCAGCCUUAAAAAGGAAGUCCUGUUAUUUUCCACACCAUGGCUGGACUAUCUAAAGUACAUUACAAACAUUUUUCAUUAUGUAGAGUGCAGCACAUUCAUUCAGUAGGGUAUAGCUAUUGCUGAAGAAAUGUCAGCUCAUCUUACUCUGAACUUCUCUGCGAUCAGGAGCCACAGUCCAAAUCUAUCAGGUCAGAGUCCAGUGUCCUGCGACUGUGCUCCCAGCACAGACUAUGUUAUUUAAUCAGGUAAUUCAAGUACCAAACACAUUAUAGGAACCAGAUAGAGACUAAACUCUCUACCCCAGUACCAACACAUCGUCAUGCAACUAUACUUACAAAGACACAAGAACCCUUAGGGAGUCAGAGCCAGAGGAUCCUGGGUAGGAAAUAGGGCUUUAACACACUGUCUUUCCAUACCAUGUACCACAGACAUUAAUAUUCUUAUACCAAAUAUAUGCUGGCAAAAUUAUGGUGAAUCUUGGUUCUAUCUUUCUAGAAGCUAUCUCCUGGGAAAAAUAAGCUCCCUUGGUCUUUGAUGCAGCUUUUCGCCUUUCACCAAUAACAAGACAGGACAGCGAAAGACUGAAAGGACGAAGUUAACAGUCUACUGCUGAUGGGAGUCAGGGCAGGAAUUCAAGCUGGGGAAGAACCUGGAGCCUCCUAUGUGCUCCAACCCUGUCCCCACUCCAGUGGCAGUGUUAAACAAUCUCAAGUGACUGCUGUUAGCUAACACCCUCGAGACAAGCUGAACACGCGGAAGAGACUCUGAGGUGCAGACCUUCCAGUGAAGCCAUAGGCUCAAUGGAUGUGAAGUGGGUCCUGUGACUAAUACCACACUGGUCCUUGAGCUACUGCACGAUAACCAGAAGAAACCUAAGCUUCAGCUCUCUGCUGGCUCUCCCUACGCACCACUGACGUCCAGAUCCUUCUCUCCAUCAACUGCAUCCUGCCAUUUGAAAAGAACUUUCUUCUGCUUUGCUGCGGACCCAACCUGGAUUUUCAUGGACGCUAAGCAAACACCCUACCACCGUGUUAACUUCCUACCCCACCCCAUGAUCCUGCCCUUUAAAAGGAAGAGCUAUCAAAUGGAUAAGUAUAUGAUAAAAGUUUUAUCAAGCUAUUUAGUUAUUUGCCUCUUACUUCUUAUCAGACAAAUGCCAGUUCAGCAAUUGAAUGACAAUUGUGACUUCUGUGACAUGUUAAUAAAGCUCAGAACCUCCA